rnacentral:lncRNA from 1 species
AGCAGGCUCUGUGGAUGCCCAGGUAUGCUGCUCUUAGCUUCAUUUUACAGCACUGAACAUUCUGCAAAGCAGCCCCAGCUCAGGGAAAGGCAAUCAGAAAAUAGUGGGUAAGAGCUAAGACAGGCAGUCCACCAUGGGGGCUGGUUCUUAGCAUAACCACCUGACCUGCCCCCAGGCCACCAGAGGGUGCCAUCCUCGAAACAUGGGUCCCUGUCAGCCUGGAUCACAGGCGUGUCCCUUCACUCUCUGUCAUCUCUGAUUCUGAUAGUAGAGCCUCCCCAGUGGCAUGCAUGGAGGCGGACAGGACCUGUCGGGAGGGAGCAGGCUGAUUCUGAGGCUCUUCACUCCUUUCCAUGCUGACCGCAGAUCCACCCCCAACCUCAGAAAGAAGGUCAAAUGAAGACCUGACUCGCUGCAGGAAACCAGCCAUGCCUCUAACCUUGGCUUUGCCCUUGGCUUCCUGCCUGCCCCAAGAACACCCCUGACUGUUCUCCAGUGCAUCUCGAUUCUACCAUAGCCUGGGGAGACAGCCAAGCUCUUUGCCAUGGCAUCGGCCUCCCUUUCCCUUUUGUUGGAGAAAGAAAAAAACGAAGGAAAGAUGAGCAACAUCUCUCUCCCCGCCAUCUCCUCAUUCUCUUCCUCAGUUUCUUACGAGUGAAAUCACCCAAGAUAUAAAUAACACAUUCUAAAUAAAGCCAUGUUUGACUGCAGCACAAGA